CUUGAAUUCGUGGAGGGACUUGGGUUGGCGAUAUUCCGCUAUUUCCUUCCUCGUUUAGUUCCCGAUUGGAGACCAAGAAGCUUGGGUCCUUCUUGAAAGCCUUCUUGAAUUGCAUGGCUGAGAGUGUCUUCUCCUCGGACUUGCCUCUCUCCACGGGUACCAUGCAUGCCUUACUCCUGUCAAGUAUGCUUAGGGAGUUUGUAGCGGGCAGCGGGAAGGCAUGGGCGUGGUCGAAGAAUUCCAUGCCAAGGAGUCAUCCAUGGGCACAAUAGAGAAAUCGAGCUUUCCACUCCACGUUCCAAGUGUUAAGUGCACGCCUUGUGCAGUCCCCGCAAUUGGCUUGGCGGGUGAGUUUACCGCCUUCAUAAUGCCUCCUUCCUUGGUGGCAUUGAGGCCUAA
rnacentral:lncRNA from 1 species